UGGGGAAUUUUGGACAAUGGGCGAAAGCCUGAUCCAGCAAUGCCGCGUGUGCGAAGAAGGCCUUCGGGUUGUAAAGCACUUUUGUCCGGAAAGAAAUCUGUUCGGCUAAUACCCGGACGGGAUGACGGUACCGGAAGAAUAAGCACCGGCUAACUACGUGCCAGCAGCCGCGGUAAUACGUAGGGUGCAAGCGUUAAUCGGAAUUACUGGGCGUAAAGCGUGCGCAGGCGGCUGGGCAAGACAGGUGUGAAAUCCCCGGGCUUAACCUGGGAACUGCACUUGUGACUGCAUGGCUAGAGUGCGUCAGAGGGAGGUGGAAUUCCGCGUGUAGCAGUGAAAUGCGUAGAGAUGCGGAGGAACACCGAUGGCGAAGGCAGCCUCCUGGGAUGACACUGACGCUCAUGCACGAAAGCGUGGGGAGCAAACA
rnacentral:rRNA from 1 species